UACGAAGGGGGCUAGCGUUGUUCGGAAUCACUGGGCGUAAAGAGCGCGUAGGCGGUCCGGUAAGUCGGUUGUGAAAACUGGGGGCUCAACCCUCAGAGGCCGACCGAUACUGCCGGGCUAGAGUCCGGAAGAGGCGAGUGGAAUUCCUGGUGUAGCGGUGAAAUGCGCAGAUAUCAGGAGGAACACCAAUUGCGAAGGCAGCUCGCUGGGACGUACUGACGCUGAGACGCGAAAGCGUGGGGAGCAAACAGGAUUAG
rnacentral:rRNA from 1 species